UCCCAACAACUACUAUACAUCUAGACCUAGAAAUCUCGAUCCAAAUCCGCCGGUGCCAGCGGAUUACUCGCAAAUUUGCGGGUAUAGAUACCAACUUUUUCAACAUAAAAUAUUAUGGAUAAAAUGGGUGGGUAACCAUUAAGCUGUGAGCAUUUUGGGUAACCCGCGGGUACCCACGGUACCCACACAUAUAUUUUUUAAUUACAAAAUAUAUUUUCUUAAUUAAAAUAUAUAUAUUUAUUUAUUUAUCCUAAAAAUGCUCACCCUAAUUUCUUAUCGCGUUAUUUUUUUAUGAAAUUUUUUUGCUUUAAAACUUUAAAU
rnacentral:lncRNA from 1 species